GUGAGGAAUAUUGGUCAAUGGACGAGAGUCUGAACCAGCCAAGUCGCGUGAAGGAAGACGGUUCUAUGAAUUGUAAACUUCUUUUGUGCAGGAAUAAAGUGGGUUACGUGUAACCUUUUGUAUGUACUGUACGAAUAAGGAUCGGCUAACUCCGUGCCAGCAGCCGCGGUAAUACGGAGGAUCCGAGCGUUAUCCUGAUUUAUUGGGUUUAAAGGGUGCGCAGGCGGGUUGAUAAGUCAGCGGUGAAAGUUUGCAGCUUAACUGUAAAAUUGCCGUUGAAACUGUCGAUCUUGAGUGCAAAUGAGGUAAGCGGAAUGUGUUGUGUAGCGGUGAAAUGCUUAGAUAUAACACAGAACACCGAUUGCGAAGGCAGCUUACUGGGAUGCAACUGACGCUCAUGCACGAAAGCGUGGGGAUCAAACAGGAUUAGAAACCCCGGUAGUCC
rnacentral:rRNA from 1 species